GGAUAUCCAGACAGGGCAAA
rnacentral:miRNA from 1 species